rnacentral:tRNA from 2 species
GCCCUCAUAGCUCAGCCGGUAGAGCACGGUCUUGGUAAGACCGGGGUCACCAGUUCGAAUCUGGUUGAGGGCUCCA